rnacentral:rRNA from 1 species
CACCGGCGGCUCGAGUGGUAACCGCUAUUAUUGGGUCUAAAGGGUCUGUAGCCGGCUGAAAAAGUCUCUUGGGAAAUCUGGCUGCUCAACAGUCAGGCGUUCAGGGGAUACUCUUCGGCUCGGGACCGGGAGAGGUGAGAGGUACUUCAUGGGUAGGGGUGAAAUCUUGUAAUCCUUGAAGGACCACCAGUGGCGAAGGCGUCUCACCAGAACGGAUCCGACGGCAAGGGACGAAAGCUAGGGGC